rnacentral:rRNA from 1 species
AUGUCGGAGGAACCUGCCGAGGCCGCGGGGGAGACGCUGGCGCGGCACGACUCGCUCUACGGGGACGCCGAGAAGGUCUCCGGCGACACGCGCCACGGCUCCGGGGCGAGCUGGAGGCAGACGGUGCUGCUGGCGUUCCAGAGCAUCGGCGUGGUGUACGGCGACCUCGGCACGUCGCCGCUCUACACCUACCCGGGCACCUUCCCGGACGGCGUCAUCCGGCACCCGGACGACCUCCUCGGCGUCCUCUCCCUCAUCCUCUACACCCUCAUCCUCCUGCCCCUGCUCAAGUACGUCUUCAUCGUGCUCUACGCCAACGACAACGGCGACGGGGGCACCUUCGCGCUCUACUCGCUCAUCUCGCGCUACGCCAGGAUCCGGAUGAUCCCCAACCAGCAGGCCGAGGACGCGUCCGUGUCCAACUACAGCAUCCCGGAGCCGGCCAGCUCCAAGACCAAGAGGGCGCAGUGGGUGAAGCAGCGGCUCGAGUCCAGCAAGGCCGCCAGGAUCGCGCUCUUCACCGUCACCGUCCUCGGCACCUCCAUGGUCAUGGGCGACGGCUCCCUCACGCCCGCAAUCUCUGUGCUCUCCGCGGUGAGCGGGAUCAGGGAGAAGGCGCCCCACUUGACCCAAUUGCAGGUGGUGUGGAUCUCGGUGGCCAUCCUCUUCAUGCUCUUCUCGGUGCAGCGCUUCGGCACGGACAAGGUGGGCUACUCCUUCGCGCCCAUCAUCCUGGUGUGGUUCGUGCUCAUCGCCGGCAUCGGGGCGUACAACCUCGCCGCCCACGACGCCACCGUGCUCAGGGCACUCAACCCCAUGUACAUCGUGGACUACUUCCGGAGGAACGGCAAGCAGGCGUGGCUCUCUCUCGGGGGCGUCGUCCUCUGCACCACAGGCACGGAGGCCAUGUUUGCUGACCUUGGCCAUUUCAACAUCAAGGCCAUUCAGCUGAGCUUCAGCUUCAUCAUCUUCCCCUCCGUGGCGCUAUGCUACAUGGGCCAGGCAUCCUACCUGCACAAAUUCCCGCAUGACGUCGCCGACACCUUCUACAAGUCGAUCCCGGCGGCGAUGUUCUGGCCGACGUUCAUCGUGGCCAUCCUGGCGGCCAUCAUCGCGAGCCAGGCCAUGCUCUCGGGGGCGUUCGCCAUCCUGUCCAAGGCGCUCUCCCUCGGCUGCUUCCCGAGGGUGCAGGUGGUGCACACGUCCAAGAAGUACGCCGGGCAGGUGUACAUCCCGGAGGUCAACUUCCUCAUCGGCGCCGCCAGCAUCGUCGUCACCCUCGCCUUCCAGACCACCACCAACAUCGGCAACGCCUACGGGAUCUGCGUCGUCAUGGUCUUCUCCAUCACCACCCACCUCAUGACCCUCGUCAUGCUGCUCGUCUGGAAGAAGAACGUCGCCUUCAUCGCCGCCUUCUACGUCGUCUUCGGGGCCACCGAGAUGCUCUACCUCACCUCCAUCCUCUCCAAGUUCGCCGAGGGGGGCUACCUGCCCUUCUGCUUCUCGCUCGUGCUCAUGGCGCUCAUGGCCACCUGGCACUACGUCCACGUCUGCCGCUACUGGUACGAGCUCGACCGCAUCGUGCCGGCCGCCAAGCUCGCGGCGCUCCUGGGCCGCCCCGACGUGCGCCGGGUGCCCGGCGUCGGCCUGCUCUACUCGGAGCUCGUCCAGGGCGUCCCUCCCGUGUUCCCGCGCCUCGUCGACAAGAUGCCGUCCGUGCACGCCGUCUUCGUCUUCAUGUCCAUCAAGAACCUCCCCAUCCCGCGGGUGGCCGCCGCCGAGCGCUUCAUCUUCCGGAGGGUCGGCCCCGCCGAGCACCGCAUGUUCCGCUGCGUCGCGCGCUACGGCUACACCGACCAGAUCGAGGCCGCCGAGGAGUUCUCCGCGUCUCUCCUCGACGGCCUCAAGCUUUUCGUCCACGAGGAGGCCGCCUUCUCCUGCAGCCAGCACACCGACGACAACGACGGCGACGGCGCUCUGCGGGCGGCGCAGGCGGCGGCCGCGGAGGAGGAGAAGCGGUACAUCGACGCAGAGCUGGAGCGCGGUGUCGUGUACCUGACCGGCGAGGCGGACGUGGUGGCCGCGCCGGGGUCGUCGCUGAUGAAGAGGAUCGUGGUCAACUACGUGUACACCUUCCUGAGGAAGAACCUGAGCGAGAGCCACAAGGCGCUCGCCAUUCCCAAGGAUCAGCUGCUCAAGGUCGGGAUCACCUACGAGAUAUAG